CAGUCGCCGCGGGAAAACGGAGGGGGCUAGCGUUGUUCGGAAUUACUGGGCGUAAAGCGCACGUAGGCGGCUUGGUAAGUUAGAGGUGAAUGCCUGGAGCUCAACUCCAGAAUUGCCUUUAAGACUGCCGAGCUAGCAGGUGAGAGAGGUAAGUGGAAUUCCGAGUGUAGAGGUGAAAUUCGUAGAUAUUCGGAAGAACACCAGUGGCGAAGGCGGCUUACUGGCUCAUACUGGACGCUGAGGUGCGAAAGCGUGGGGAGCAAACAGGAUUAGAUACCCCCGUAGUCCCUGUCUCUUAUAC
rnacentral:rRNA from 1 species